rnacentral:rRNA from 1 species
UACGUAGGGUGCGAGCGUUGCCCGGAUUUAUUGGGCGUAAAGGGCGCGUAGGCGGCCUGCUAAGUCGAACGUGAAAUCCCUGGGCUCAACCCAGGAACUGCGUCCGAUACUGGUUGGCUUGAAUCCGGGAGAGGGAUGCGGAAUUCCAGGUGUAGCGGUGAAAUGCGUAGAUAUCUGGAGGAACACCGGUGGCGAAGGCGGCAUCCUGGACCGGCAUUGACGCUGAGGCGCGAAAGCUAGGGGAGCAAACGGG